rnacentral:rRNA from 1 species
AUUGAACGCUGGCGGCAGGCCUAACACAUGCAAGUCGAGCGGCAGCGGGAAAGUAGCUUGCUACUUUUGCCGGCGAGCGGCGGACGGGUGAGUAAUGCCUGGGAAAUUGCCCAGUCGAGGGGGAUAACAGUUGGAAACGACUGCUAAUACCGCAUACGCCCUACGGGGGAAAGCAGGGGACCUUCGGGCCUUGCGCGAUUGGAUAUGCCCAGGUGGGAUUAGCUAGUUGGUGAGGUAAUGGCUCACCAAGGCGACGAUCCCUAGCUGGUCUGAGAGGAUGAUCAGCCACACUGGAACUGAGACACGGUCCAGACUCCUACGGGAGGCAGCAGUGGGGAAUAUUGCACAAUGGGGGAAACCCUGAUGCAGCCAUGCCGCGUGUGAAGAAGGCCUUCGGGUUGUAAAGCACUUUCAGCGAGGAGGAAAGGUCAGUAGCUAAUAUCUGCUGACUGUGACGUUACUCGCAGAAGAAGCACCGGCUAACUCCGUGCCAGCAGCCGCGGUAACAC